ACCGGGCUUGGUAGCGCAAGCCUAUGACCCAAGUGGGGGUAUUAAGGUGUUGGAAGUGGCCGGUGAUAUGUGUUGUGUCGGAAGAAUCUUGGACGGAGCAUCCUUGAGGAGGGAGUGUCCUGAGAUGGGUUUUGAUUGAUUCGGACUCAAGGCUCAGGACGGAAUGACCUGAAGAGUUCAGGUUAGUGCUGUCUUACCAGAGCAGCGCUCUCAAUAAGUGGAGGUAAUUCCAGUUGCAAUCUGCCAAGAUAUCCCUACUUCCCAACCUUGUCAUCUGGCACAACCUUCAUUUUU
rnacentral:SRP_RNA from 1 species